AUUAACAGUAUCUAUGUCCCAUUGUAUUGUUAUUUAUUUGUUAGAUAUUUCCCAAUUACAUUUUAAUCAUGGUCAGGCCAUCUGCACACUUCUCUGGUCUCCCCACAAUCCUUCCCUCAUCCCCACCCCCAAUCCGUUGGGAUGGUUCUGUCCUUACUUGGAUUGCUCCCAAGGGUAUUCCUUCAUUUGGCCGGCCCCAUUUCUGUUAGCUGUCUCUAGCCACUCUACUUGGUUUCGACAAGCUCACCAGUGGGCCCUAUUCUAAUCGGUUAAUCUAGGGGCCAAUAAGAAGGCCCUCAGAAUCUUGUUGGCAUUGGCCAUACUCUGGAAGGCUGGAGUGAUCUCAAAGAAUUUCUGCUUCUGUGUCCCCACUGCCAGUCUCUCAUUAUCCACGUGAAGCAGGAAUAUACUGGAGUCAGCUCAUAAUUGCCGAGCUGAUUGUUAAAUUUUCAGUGUAAGUGCUUACACCUUGGAAGUUGCAAAUGCUACAAAUCAGAGCUUCAUGUAUUGUUUUGUUGAUUAUCUAGCCUUAAAGUGCUGGAAGAUGCAUUAAUAAUGCAAAUUAAAAAGUGUGUUGUGCGUGCUUUUUUUUUUUCUUUUGCAGACUCUUGCCUGAAAGAGAUUGGGGAUUUUUAGCCUGGACAAGAGAAAACUUGUGGGUGGCAAGUCUCAGUUGUCUUUCUCAAGUUACUCACUAUGUGGGAAAUCAGCCUAGGACCUUCUCUGGAACCAGUGUAUCAAUAAAUUUAAAGAUCUGGAACCAAGAAUCAUGAUCAAAUAAACUCCGUCAUUGUCCUUGGAUGGGCUGUGUCAACUCAUUUCCUUGUGUGGCCCCACUCAACAUCUCAGUACCUUUCCAGACCAAAGUGACUCUCCCUGUCCACCACCCCUCUACCCUUUAUUUCCCUCAUUUGAAUGUAAGCUCUUUGAGGUCGGAGGAUUGCCUUUGCCUUUGUAUUUGUAACCCCAAA